rnacentral:piRNA from 1 species
UUGCUGAUGGAACGGAUCCGGCAGGGCCAU